rnacentral:rRNA from 1 species
GACGAACGCUGGCGGCGUGCUUAACACAUGCAAGUCGAACGCUGAAGCUUGGUGCUUGCACUGGGUGGAUGAGUGGCGAACGGGUGAGUAAUACGUGAGUAACCUGCCCUUGACUCUGGGAUAAGCCUGGGAAACUGGGUCUAAUACUGGAUACGACAUGUCACCGCAUGGUGGUGUGUGGAAAGGGUUUUACUGGUUUUGGAUGGGCUCACGGCCUAUCAGCUUGUUGGUGGGGUAAUGGCUCACCAAGGCGACGACGGGUAGCCGGCCUGAGAGGGUGACCGGCCACACUGGGACUGAGACACGGCCCAGACUCCUACGGGAGGCAGCAGUGGGGAAUAUUGCACAAUGGGCGGAAGCCUGAUGCAGCGACGCCGCGUGAGGGAUGACGGCCUUCGGGUUGUAAACCUCUUUCAGCACGGAAGAAGCGAAAGUGACGGUACGUGCAGAAGAAGCGCCAGCUAACUACGUG